rnacentral:misc_RNA from 1 species
GUACCUUCAAGCUCUGCUUGGUGUUGGGUGUUUGUCCUCGCUCCUCUGGGGUAGGACUCGCCUUAAAGUAAUUGGCAGCCAGUGUUUUGGUUUGAAGCGCAGCACAAGUCGCGAUUCAAGCUUAAUCAGUAGCUUUCCAUAAGACAUCUAUCAC